rnacentral:rRNA from 1 species
GACGGAGGAUGCAAGCGUUAUCCGGAAUGAUUGGGCGUAAAGCGUCCGCAGGUGGCAGUUCAAGUUUGCUGUCAAAGACCGGGGCUUAACUUCGGAAAGGCAGUGGAAACUGAACAGCUAGAGUGCGGUAGGGGCAGAGGGAAUUCCCAGUGUAGCGGUGAAAUGCGUAGAGAUUGGGAAGAACACCGGUGGCGAAAGCGCUCUGCUGGGCCGCAACUGACACUAAUGGACGAAAGCUAGGGGAGCGAAUGGG